rnacentral:rRNA from 1 species
UACGGAGGGUGCGAGCGUUGUCCGGAAUCACUGGGCGUAAAGGGCGCGUAGGUGGCGCCGCAAGUCAACGGUGAAAGCUCGACGCUUAACGUCGAGUCGGCCGUCGAGACUGCGGGGCUCGAGCACUGUAGAGGCUCAUGGAAUUCCGGGUGUAGCGGUGGAAUGCGUAGAGAUCCGGAAGAACACCGGUGGCGAAGGCGGUGAGCUGGGCAGUUGCUGACACUGAGGCGCGACAGCGUGGGGAGCAAGCAGG